UUCAAUUGAAUAAAAAAAAUGGUUGUGGAAAAAAGGGUUGUCAGCCUGUAGGCCAGCCUAUAUUCCAAUAAAUAACUUUUUGUGAAAAAUGACAAUGGGAGAUUAUAUUCUGACUGUGGAGUUCCAACUUUUUUGUGGAAUAAUUUUUGGAAAAAAUCUUUUUGGAUACAAAUUAGAAGAGUCCAGCAUAAGCAAGCUUGAGGGCGUAGAAUGUAUUCUAGAUACACAGCAUGCAAUUCCCAGAGACACCCAAAGAGAGGAAAAUAGCAUCUAUUACAACUUCCCCGGAAACCUUUGGGCCAGGUUUUGGAAGAGGAUUCAUGUCACCAUGUGAGGAAUUGAACCAGCAGAGAGGUACAGUACAGCAACUGCACUUACCAAAUAAUGGACGUGUUUUGGCCAUCCUGAGUCUCGCUUUGCUGGCAAUUAAUCAGCAGGAGACCUGACGCAUGCUGGAGACAGACGGCCACACUAAAGCUGCCCGUUUUAGAGCAAAUACUGUCACUAUAUCUCACAGCGGUUUUGAAACAAAGUAAUAUUAGUUACUUGGUCAAAAGAAGGAGGUCUCUGCCUCAGAGACCCGCAAACGAGAGACAGCGAGGAGACAGAUACCCGGACAGAUUGGUUUUGGCAAUAAAAGGCUUGGCUCGGCUGAUUCAUGUCAGGGCCAGGCUGGGGUUUCCAUACUCAGCAUGGUCUCAAGAGCCUCGGCGCUGACCUAGAUCUCUAAACUAUGCCUGCAAGACCCUGAGGGUUUGCCUUGACUCUGCAGGGGGACUCUAGCUAACAGGGGAAGACGUAUAUGGGGUUGUCUCAGAGGCCACAGAAGCCCCAAGAACCCAUCAAGCUGGGGAUAACAGCAAAAAACUUAAAAUAGAAACCAUUUCACUUAUAAUACUUGAAAUCUCGAAUUAAAAUUUAUUUACAACAUGAACAACCACACAUCUAAUGUGAGUGGCGCUUGUCUUGUUUAAAAAGUCAAUUCAUGAAGUAAUGAAUAUGGUAAACUGCUCCAGGUUUAUGCCUUUGGUUAAAACACUUCUUACCUCAUACAGUCUGACCAUAAAUGUAUUUUUUUUUUUUUUUUUCAAAAUACACUUAAUUGAAUACUGUAUAGAUGGAUACUAUAUAGAUGAAUGGAGGGCGGUGUUAUAUUAGUACCAAGAACUACUUUAGUAGUAUCCAAAUUUUUCAUUAAUGCUGUUCAAAGAUGUCAAAUGUAUUGAGUCUUGAGUCUCUUCUAUUUAACAAGUUUGCGUUGUCCCUAAUUCAAGUGAAUGUAAUUUAAUGCUGUAUCAUGCAAUAACAGUCUGCAUCCAUGGUCCAACAUCUGGUUUGGAAAUGCAUUAAAAACACCACUCUUUUCACGAUAAAUAACAGACAGAUUCUAAGAUCAGCAUUUUCCAUCAAAUUCUUUACCAUAAUCAGAUACCCAUCUCCAAGAAAAUCUUUCCCAGAAUGCCUGAGCUUGUGGGUUCGACCGUGUCUUGGUCUCCAAAUGAGCUGGCAAUUGAGAAACUGGAGCCAAAUUGCAAAAAAUCAGGUAGGAAAUCUCUUCAGUGUCAGAGUGAGCUAGAUGAGGCAUGGCAUGGGCAUUGACCUUGUCAUCAGUUCCGUUUUGACAAGGUAAGAAGGCGGGAUUGUGGUCAGAGUCCAUCAUAUUUGGCCUGUCAGCUGCUCUACUCUUUUGUCUAUGUGACUUGGAGCUCUAAACCAGAGACGUUUUAUCACAGCGGUAUGUAGUUGUUUUCUCACUGCUCGUGAUUUUAGGCAUUUAUAAAAUGCUUUGCAAAUCAAACAUGCAUAUCCAUCUCAUUUUUCUUCGCAGCUUAAUUGAAAUACGCAGCGAGUCAUUAAAAAGCUGAAUUUUUUUGCUUUAAUGAACAUGCCAGCUUGGUGAUGUCCCUGCCCAUCAGAUACUAACUAUACGUUUAUUCAUUGUUAUGAAAAUGUUCCAGGACCAAGGCUGACUGAAUAAAAGUUCAGUUCCUAUUUCCUUUAUUAAACUGGACUUUAUUUUUAAUGAGUUAUUGAGUUAUAGACUGUAUUCAGUUUUAUUAUCUUCUUGCAGAAAGGUUGUCCUGCUCUAGUGGCGUAGUGCAUUUUUCACUACAUCUGGAGCGUGACAUUUUUUCUCUAUGCUGAGACGCACCUGUGGUGUGAAAAAAGGAAGACGGUUGACAGGCGAGACAGUGAUAAACAACAUCAUUAAUUUUCAUUAAUUUUACAGGUAUGUGAAAAUGAGCUCCAAAUGCUUGCAAAAACAACACAGUGGUGUUUAUCCUCCUAAGGGUUUCUUGUUUCCAUGUUACAACAUUAACAGUCAGUAUGUCUUUG